UCCUACGGGAGGCAGCAGUAGGGAAUAUUGCACAAUGGACGAAAGUCUGAUGCAGCAACGCCGCGUGCACGAUGAAGGUCUUCGGAUCGUAAAGUGCUUUUCUGGGAGAUGAGAAAGGACAGUAUCCCAGGAAUAAGUCUCGGCUAACUACGUGCCAGCAGCCGCGGUAAAACGUAGGAGGCGAGCGUUAUCCGGAUUCACUGGGCGUAAAGCGCAUGCAGGCGGUUCGGUAAGUUGGGCGUGAAAUCUCCCGGCUUAACUGGGAGAGGUCGUUCAAUACUACCGGACUUGAGAACAGUAGAGGAAGAUGGAAUUCCCGGUGUAGUGGUGAAAUGCGUAGAUAUCGGGAGGAACACCAGUGGCGAAGGCGAUCUUCUGGACUGUUUCUGACGCUCAUAUGCGAAAGCUAGGGUAGUAAACGGGAUUAGAUACCCCAGUAGUCCC
rnacentral:rRNA from 1 species